UGGGCCUGCAGUCUCGACAAAGAUAGCGAUCGCUUAACGACAAAAUUCGGUCGAUAAGUCCUAACGAUCCGAUCGUAACGAUUUUUGGUAGUCUCUACUGCCAAAACUAUCGAGUGUCAUCGCAAAGUUACCGAAUAUUUUCGGUAAGAUAACGAUUUAUCGUUAUGUCAUAGAAUUUCCUUGCGACAGUUUUUGACAGCCCGCUAAGUGAUAGCUACUAUCGAUAUCGUUCCUAUAUUUGUUUAUUUUACGUCAGAAAAUAUUAAAUAAAUAGUAAUUUAAUAAAUAAUGGCUUCUGAAUAUUUAGCAUGGGACUUAGUUGUGCUCGAGCACAGACGCGAUGUGCUUAUGGGUCGACAAAUAGCACGAAACAAGCGAAACGAUGAAAAUCCCUUGGAUUUGGAGGAUGGCCAAUUUCUUCAAAUGUAUAGAAUUUCAAAGGAAAUGUUUCACAGGCUACUAAGUGAACUGCGUCCAUCUCUCCAAAGACGACGGCCUUACGGACUUUCUGUGGAGUCCCAAAUACUGACGGCACUCCGAUUUUACGCAUGUGGGUGCUACCAACAACCUGUUGGCUUGCAGUGGGGUUGUAGCAUGAGCCAAAAUCUGUUAGCCGAGUCAUCCGGGCUGUAACUUCGGCAAUAAAUGAAAACUUUUAAGAAAAUAUAUUAAAUUUCCAAUGACUCAAGGAGAACGCCAUGCGGCAAAACAGAAAUUUAGAAAUGCCCCACAGCCAUUCCCAGGGGUAAUUGGAGCCAUUGAUUGCACCCAUAUAAAAAUUUUAGCUCCUAAGACCAAUGAGGAGUCUUAUGUGAGUGGUCACCAUGAGGGCCAUUCAUUAAAUGUGCAAGCUGUGUGUGACCCUGAUCUUAUUAUUUUAAAUAUUAAUGCUCGAUGGCCAGGAGCGAGACAUGAUGCUCACAUAUGGGCAAAUUCACCGGUGCGCUCAACAAUGAAGCGACAUUUUGAAAAUGGGGACCGCCGUGCUUGGCUGCUUGGUGAUGAUGGAUAUCCUCUGGAACCGUGGUUAAUGACUCCCAUAAAACAUCAACAGC